rnacentral:rRNA from 2 species
UGGGGAAUCUUGCGCAAUGGGCGAAAGCCUGACGCAGCGACGCCGCGUGCGGGAAGAAGGCCUUCGGGUUGUAAACCGCUUUCAGGAGGGACGAAGCUACUCGGGUGAAUAGCCCAGAGGGUGACGGUACCUUCAGAAGAAGCCCCGGCUAACUACGUGCCAGCAGCCGCGGUAAUACGUAGGGGGCAAGCGUUGUCCGGAUUCAUUGGGCGUAAAGCGCGUGUAGGCGGCCAGGUAGGUCCGACGUGAAAACUGGAGGCUCAACCUCCAGCUGUCGUUGGAAACCAUCUGGCUAGAGUCCGGAAGAGGAGAGUGGAAUUCCUGGUGUAGCGGUGAAAUGCGCAGAUAUCAGGAAGAACACCAAUGGCGAAGGCAGCUCUCUGGGACGGUACUGACGCUGAGACGCGAAAGCGUGGGGAGCGAACAGG